AGUCGUAAUAUUCUAUUUGUACUCUGAUGUAACCUUAUACAUUACUAAUUAGUAGUUAAUUAAUUGUUAGUUCUAAUUUAAUCCAAUCUAAUCGAAUCAUACUAUAUAUAAACUUUUUAAACAUUCAACAGAAUAGUAAAAAUAUCUUUACAUCUACAUACGUACAUAUGUUUCAUGCUCACACACCAUCUGUGUGUGGAUCUACAUAUACACUCGCGUGCAUUCAGCAUAUCAACAGCUCACAAAGAAAACGUAACUUGCGGAAUGUUCCGCUAGAGUGACAUCGGUCAGUUCGUCGUAUGCAAGUUUUAAUAUGGCGAAACGGAGUCGUAAAGUUAAAUGGGAUAGAAUAUAUUUUGAUUCUAAUUCUGAUUCUAACUUUAAUUCAAAUAUUCAAGAAAAAUAUAAAACUGAAACAAUUGAAACAAGCGAGGGCAUGCGGUAAUUUUGAAUACUAUAAAUAUCAAAAAAAUAGAAAGCUCGGAUGAGAUUAAUAUACAUAUGACUAAAUAAUAAAUAAAACUUCGUACAAAACAACAAGACAUUCGGGGCACUGGUACAAUAAUACAAUGAUACAUUAAUAAUAAUAAUACAUGUUUUGGCCGAGCGACUUGGCUCGUUACAUUCAUCCACGAUGCAUAUACAAUUUGAGCCAGUCGACGCGACACUGCCACGGUUACGAAUAGGUUAAUUUGUGUUGAUAAAUUAACCUAUUCAAAUAUGAAAGACAAGGAAUGACGCGACGGGGUAUUUUUAUGCUUAUGUUGUCUUUGUCUUUC
rnacentral:misc_RNA from 1 species